rnacentral:rRNA from 1 species
GACGAACGCUGGCGGCGUGCUUAACACAUGCAAGUCGAACGGAAAGGCCCUGCUUUUGUGGGGUGCUCGAGUGGCGAACGGGUGAGUAACACGUGAGUAACCUGCCCUUGACUUUGGGAUAACUUCGGGAAACUGGGGCUAAUACCGGAUAGGAGCUCCUGCUGCAUGGUGGGGGUUGGAAAGUUUCGGCGGUUGGGGAUGGACUCGCGGCUUAUCAGCUUGUUGGUGGGGUAGUGGCUUACCAAGGCUUUGACGGGUAGCCGGCCUGAGAGGGUGACCGGCCAAAUUGGGACUGAGAUACGGCCCAGACUCCUACGGGAGGCAGCAGUGGGGAAUAUUGCACAAUGGGCGGAAGCCUGAUGCAGCAACGCCGCGUGCGGGAUGACGGCCUUCGGGUUGUAAACCGCUUUCGCCUGUGACGAAGCGUGAGUGACGGUAAUGGGUAAAGAAGCACCGGCUAACUACGUG